rnacentral:lncRNA from 1 species
UUUAAUUUAUCCUACAUCGAUCUUUUGAUGUCGUCCCUUAGUGAAAUACGGGUUUCGAAUAAUUUACUACUAUGUAAUUUUUCGUUUAUUCAAUUUUAUUUGUAUUCUCUGGGAUGUCUUUGAUCAUACAUUCUCAUUAGUCCUCCUUCCCAUACAUGUUACAAGAAAAGGUAACUAUGCUAGACUAUGUAAGCAGACAAUGAGCAAUGAAUAACUUUAUUCAUAUGUUUUAGCGUUACGUGGAUAUUAUAGUCUUUUUACUUUAGUUUCAUUAAAUAUACGCAGAGGCCUUUACCACGAAUAUUUCUAUUUAUUUUUUUCACCUAAUUAGUUUUUUCCAUUUCGAUUUUAGUUAAUGAUGAAAAUGAUGAUGGACUUAUGUUAAACGCCCCGUUAUAAAUAUCACAAAUAUAUUUCAACAUGUAAGGACAACGUAUACAUAAUUCGGAUAUAUUUCAAAUUUCAUAGAAUUUUUUUCCAAUAAGUUCUUGUUCAACUUGUGUUCUUGUCAUUUAAGAUUGGGUGAGAAAAAAAAUUGUGAUUUGGCAUUGUGUGACAUUUAUUUUGGCGAGAUCGACACUUCAUGUAUCGAGACAAUUUAAGAAAAAGGAAGAAUCCGGUGACCUCCUGGUAUUUUCAUAUCAAAUAAAACCUUUGUUAUACGCAAUUUCCUGAAUUAGUAAUAUAUAAAUGAAACAAAACACUUUGUCACCACUUUUUAUAUACAUUCUUUACAUUUAUAGAUCUAUUUGCUUUUUGGUCGGGAUGUUGUCUCUUUGACAUAUUCCAUUCUCAAUUUUAUGAAACCACCCAGGAGACCAUUAUUUAAUGAGAAAGUGACUAAAUAUACUAUAUCGUAUUAUAAAUUGUACCAUGGUGUGGGUUUUGAUAAAUAAAAAAAUAGAGCACUCUUCCAAUUAUAUUCCAUCCACUUCCAAGUAAGUCUGUGCAUCAACCAUUUCAAUCAUCAUUUGCAAAUAACCUUUUCUACCUUUUCUAUGGUUUCUUUUCCAUAGCCCCAAAAAGGCAUAAGGAAACUUAAAUGUAAUGUGGAUUCAUUAAUUUUUCGUGGGAACAAAUUUUCGUGGAUUGAGAAAAAACUAAGACUUUUGAGGAUAUUUUAACUUCGAGGUUUUUCUCAAGCCUGCAUACAAUUUGUGAUUGAGCAUUUAAAUUCGUGGUUCACCUAUACGCACAAAAUCCACGAAAAAUUAUGAAUCCACAGUUCUUUUAAAGAUGAACACCAAUCCGCCAUAUGUUCCACACGAACAAUGAUCUACAGAGAAGUGCCUUAAUCGGUCUCUCUAGCAAUAUGAACAGUAUUGUAUAAUGUUUAUGUAGUAAAAUGUUGUUGUUAAUGUUGUAUAGUAUACAUUUGUAUAUUGUAUAAUAAAAUUGAUA